rnacentral:rRNA from 1 species
UACGUAGGGGCCGAGCGUUGUCCGGAGUUAUUGGGCGUAAAGCGCGCGCAGGCGGCCUCGCGCGCCCGACGUGAAAGCCCCCGGCUUAACCGGGGAGGGUCGUUGGUGACUGGCGAGCUUGAAGACAGCAGGGGCAGGUGGAAUUCCCGGUGUAGUGGUGAAAUGCGUAGAGAUCGGGAGGAACACCCGUGGCGAAGGCGGCCUGCUGGGCUGAUCUUGACGCUGAGGCGCGAAGGCGUGGGGAGCAAACAGGG